AGUACAGCGAGCGCGCCGAGGUCGUGCGGGAAAUUCCGUCAGUGAGGGAAAAUGCGGUGUUUAAAGUCUGGGGGGAAGAAAGAACUAAACAAACAAGAAUGAGUGAAAACUGUAGGCCCUAAUCAGAUUAUUGCACACAGCAAGACCUAAAAAGACCUACAGAAGACCUAAAAAGACCUAGAAAGACCUACAGAGACCGACAGAAGACCUAGAAAGACCUGGAAAAAACUUAAAAAGACCGACAGAAGACCUAAAAAGACCUAGAAAUACCUAGAAAGACCUAAAAAGACCUACAGAAGACCUAAAAAGACCUAGAAAUACCUACAGAAGACCUAGGAAACCAGUGAUUCUCUAAAACUAUAGUGUUUGAAACCUUUCAGAUGGAGCAUUUCACAUGAAAAUGAAACUUAAAUAAAACAAAUACAAUUCCUGUUCA